CAUCUAGCAACUUAGUGACCAGAAAAAACGCACGGUGAUCCAACGAGACGAGGUAUCAAGUGGUACAGCAAAGUGUUAUGAUCGAGAUCUUAUGCAAUACAGCUCUGGUGAAUGCAUAAUUAUGAUAUGUAUAUUUCGACAGUUGGUUCAAGAAUAUCAACAAUUACGGAAUUCAGAGAGAAAAUUGCUGUAGCACUUCUCUUCUUUCAUUCACCGAAUUUUAUCUUUUCACCAGAGAACAGCCUUCUAAACGUAACUGCUCAAGCUGCUGUGUCAAGCACGAAAUCAUCUUUGACGAACAAUCCAGUCGAAUAUCGGUUUACAGCAACCAGUCUUGAUUUUGUUGCCCAAGACAUAAUAUAUGUUUUGGAGAAUGUAUUUGACGAGGCGUCGUGGUCAAAUGUGAAGAUAGAAAAAAAAGCAGACCAUACUGUGGAAUUCGCUAUUCCGUUUCCUGUGAAGUUGCAAACGGUUAUCAAAAAAGUGACGGAGGCCGGAUUCGAAAACUUAACAAUAAAUACAAUCAACGUAUCCGAGGUUUCUAGAAAAAGGUUUCUAGAGCUGAAAAGCCUCCAGCAAAAAAAA